CCCAGACUCCUACGGGAGGCAGCAGUGGGGAAUAUUGGGCAAUGGGCGCAAGCCUGACCCAGCGACGCCGCGUGAGGGAAGACGGUCUUCGGAUUGUAAACCUCUUUCAGCAGGGAAGACAAAAGGACGGUACCUGCAGAAGAAGCCCCGGCUAACUACGUGCCAGCAGCCGCGGUAAUACGUAGGGGGCAAGCGUUAUCCGGAUUCACUGGGUGUAAAGGGAGCGUAGACGGCGACGCAAGUCUGGAGUGAAAGCCCGGGGCCCAACCCCGGGACUGCUCUGGAAACUGCGGCGCUGGAGUACGGGAGGGGCAGGCGGAAUUCCUGGUGUAGCGGUGAAAUGCGUAGAUAUCAGGAGGAACACCGGCGGCGAAGGCGGCCUGCUGGACCGUGACUGACGUUGAGGCUCGAGAGCGUGGGGAGCAAACAGGAUUAGAUACCCUGGUAU
rnacentral:rRNA from 1 species